AUGGGACCCACAUCCCGGCCUUCCGUGUCGAGUAGUCAAAUCGCCGCAACCUUAUUCAAUAAGCCAGCCGUCUCUAGUGCACCACUUCUAGCCAACUGCCUCCACUCCACCACUCCUCGUUGUCCAUCUAAAAUCCCUCACCCAAGCUCGCCCAAAUCCCUAACCCUCGCUAAUCGAUCUCCCAGCCAUCAUCGUCCAAUCUCUAAGCCACAAUGGAGAUCACUCCUUCAUUGGCGGCAAUCCUUGUUCGGGUGGCCGCUGGCGAUGCGGAGAAGUUGGCCCGGCUGCACGAGAUAUGCUCGUGGUUCCCUGACCUGA
rnacentral:rRNA from 1 species